rnacentral:tRNA from 2 species
GGAGAGGUGGCCGAGUGGUCGAAGGCGCUCGCCUGGAAAGUGAGUAACACCCCAAAAGGUGUUCGAGGGUUCGAAUCCCUCCCUCUCCGCCA